rnacentral:rRNA from 1 species
CCAAUAGCGUAUAUUAAAGUUGUUGCAGUUAAAAAGCUCGUAGUUGAAUUUCGGGAUCAAUGUUUCGGUCAUGCCGUUGGUAUGUACUGAUAUUAUUGAUUUCUCACCUUCUAAAGAACCGUAAUGCCAUUAAUUUGGUGUCACGGGGAAUUAGGACUGUUACCUUGAAAAAAUUAGAGUGUUUAAAGCAGGCUCACGCUUGAAUACAUUAGCAUGGAAUAAUGAAAUAGGACAUCCGAUUCUAUUUUGUUGGUUUCUAGGAUCGAUGUAAUGAUUAAUAGGGAUAGUUGGGGGCAUUAGUAUUCAAUUGUCAGAGGUGAAAUUCUUGGAUUUAUUGAAGACUAACUACUGCGAAAGCAUUUGCCAAGGAUGUUUUCAUUAAUCAAGAACGAAAGUUAGGGGAUCGAAGACGAUCAGAUACCGUCGUAGUCUUAACCAUAAACUAUGCCGACUAGGGAUCGGAUGAUGUUAAUUUUUUAAUGACUCAUUCGGCGCCUUAC